UACAGAGGGGGCAAGCGUUGUUCGGAAUUACUGGGCGUAAAGGGCGCGUAGGCGGCCUGUUAAGUCGAACGUGAAAUCCCCGGGCUCAACCCGGGAACUGCGUCCGAUACUGGCAGGCUUGAAUCCGGGAGAGGGAUGCGGAAUUCCAGGUGUAGCGGUGAAAUGCGUAGAUAUCUGGAGGAACACCGGUGGCGAAGGCGGCAUCCUGGACCGGCAUUGACGCUGAGGCGCGAAAGCCAGGGGAGCAAA
rnacentral:rRNA from 1 species